ensembl:lncRNA
CGGACCUGCGACGCACUGCUGAAGGCGGGAAGCUCGCGGAGAUUAGCAUGAAAAAUACCGGAAACCGGUUUAUCGGGUUUCAAAAUAAAAGUGAUUUUAAACGCAACGACCGCCAUGGUAUUCGUUCCAACAAUUACACAUUACGUGUAAUUUAUACAUGACAAUUAUACAACAUUUUUGUAUAAUAAACAUCCAAUCGAUUAGUAUUUACUUUUUAUAACUAAAAACCGCUUUUUACUCCCGAAACUGAGUGAGUACUUUAUUCUUAUAAUCUCAACCGGACGUGUCGGUGUUUAUCAUUCUGGUUCUGACGCCGUCGGUGAUCCCCGGGUUUCCCGUUAAUAUCCCGACUUUUCCUCCACCGUAUUUGGAUGUUUUUCCGGUCUCGUCGUGAGCCGGGCCCCGCCGGUUUGAGGCGUCCCUCCCCCGCCCUGAAGGAGCAGCAGCGGUCGGUGUCUGGUGGUCUGGAUGCGGACUCACGGAGAUAAAUCGGCGCUUUAAUCUCCGGUUCUUCACCGGCGACAGACGGCGGCGGGAUUUCCUCUUGUUUCAUCUUCUCACGGAGCGACGUUAGAUAGGACGGUUAUUCUAACGACCUCGUGCUGUUUUAACGGCGUUAGCGGACACAUCAUAUUAGAUUCAUUCACCGUUGUGAGUGACAUUCUCCGGUAACCUUCAGACACCAUCCCGGUGUUCCGGUUCUAUGGUUCUUUAAACGUUUCCAGACAAGCGUUCCCCAAGGAACACUGUAAUCUGACUGAAAGAACCUCAAAGGAACCCUCGAGAACAGCUAUUAGAGAACCCUGAUUUAGGUUCUAGCCUCACUGAAAGAACCUGUGAGGAACCAUGGGGAGGAGUUCGUAAAGAACCCUGAUUUAGGUUCUAGUCAGACUGAAAGAACCUGUGAGGAACCCUGAAGAAGGGCUAGUAAAGUACCUGAUUUAGGUCCUAGGGUCACUGAAAGAACCACAGAGCAACGAUUCCACAACAUCUACAAACCAAUUUACUACAGUAUUUAUAGUUUCAGAUGUUACUUUGAAACUAAAUCAGCGAUGACUUCAGAAUCUAACGGAACAUCCUGAGAACGUUUUUUACACUUGAAUUAAAAAGAAUACAAUCAGAACCCUAAAGCCAAACGAUGAGUCACUAUAAAGUCUCCAGCUGUGACAGAAGCACCAACAUCAUUAGUUCAUCAACUACAUCACUACUAUGACGUCAUCACGUAACCCUGUUUAGAUGUUCUCCUGUGAUGAUUGUCACGUGAUCAAUAGGACAAUCCGCCGUUUCCCGAUCAAUCAGUGUUAAACCUCCAACGUUUAGUUUCUUUGGACCCUGACGACC